rnacentral:hammerhead_ribozyme from 1 species
AUCUAGCCGACGAGUCCCAAAUGGGGCGAAAUGCGAAUCCUGGAU